UGCAGACUUGAAGGAUGGAGCUGGUUACCACACCAACUCCCAUUUCUUAAGUGUUUUUGUUUAUCUGCGAUCCCACUAGACCCAGAAGUGAUGAUGAGACAAUGCAGGCUGUGAGUUCUGUCUCCUCGCAGGUUCCUAGCUGAGAAUUUGGGUAAGAGGGUCGAAAUGAACCACCUCUAGGAGAAUCUUCUCAUGGGGGCAAGGAAUGCCUCGGGUUUGGAUGCCCAGGAGGCUCUCUGCCCACUCCUUUUCAGUCUGAGUUACCACCUGUCCCCGCUAUGAAUGUUUCUGAAGAGUAGGAACUCGUUGUAGAACUGCCGUAAUGAAAUUGAAAUUCAAACAUAGCGGGGAGAGAAGUUGUUGGGCUAUAUGUUAGAAAGGGAUUGUUGUAGUACCAAGUUGUAUACUAGUGGCUUUAACUAACAGCUAAAAGACGCUGGGAAGUGUCUCAGCAGGAAUCGGGUCUGUCUGGCACCCUGUGUUACUCAUAUUGAUGAAUUAUCAGCCCCACAGUCAACUUCUGAGCCCUUAACUGGAUUGGACACAUGGUGUUUAUCAGAUGCAACAAUCAAUCAGUACAUGAUUCAAUAAACUCAGGAAUAUGCAAUGAACAAAAAUAACCGUUUCUCUGCAUAUCGGAAUACAUUAAAACCAAAGACCUAUGCAUCAAAUUUGUGUUGCCCAAAUAUGGUAAAGCCAUGUAAUAAGAUAGAUUAAUGGUUUAAAAUCAAACAUGUUUCUACUGCCCAUGUCCUUUCAAAAAUGCUCCCUUGGUGACCAGUUUGGGAGAUUUUGCUGUCAUUAUUCUUGUUACACAUAAGCCUCAAGUAUGUGGUCUGGGUAGACAGCAAAGAUAGGAAGUUUCAAUAGAAGACAUCAGUUGCACAGGUAAUUUUUAGCCUCUUUCUGCAACAAAAUUUAUCAAAAUUUUCUACCACGCAUUAGUUACGCUCUUCAAAUGAAGCAGCUCUAAGAAGUUGUUAACAAAUUUGUGAGGCUGUAAAUUAAAAACCAGAGGGACAAGUGUACACUGUGUAUGUUGUACAUUUAAUUCUGUCGGUCAGCGCAGUGUGAGCUUUCUCUCCACAGGUGUACUGUGGAGCUUGGCCGCAAGCAUCCAACUACCUAAAACUUGGUGUAUUCCAAAGCAGAUUCGAAACAUAUACCUGCUCCUUGGGAGUGUGUGUGGUUUGUCAAAAGGAAUUUUAAAACCAUAUGUCCAUUAUCCAAAUAAGGAUUUCAAUUCUGCGUGUGUUACAGUGUAAUAUGCCAAGUUAUUUUACAACGUGUGUGUUCUCAGAGAUCCUUCGCUUUAUUGAGGCUGCUUCAUCCGUUAUUUUUCCAUGUUUCUUCCAUCACAGAAAAUGUCACAAAUAAAUAGACAUCA
rnacentral:lncRNA from 1 species